rnacentral:rRNA from 1 species
GACGAACGCUGGCGGCGUGCUUAACACAUGCAAGUCGAACGGUGAAGCGCCUUCCUUUUUGGUGGGUGUGGAUGAGUGGCGAACGGGUGAGUAACACGUGAGUAACCUGCCCCCUUCUUCUGGAUAACCGCAUGAAAGUGUGGCUAAUACGGGAUAUUCUGGGUCUGUCGCAUGAUGGGUCUGGGAAAGAUAUUGUUUCGGUGGGGGAUGGGCUCGCGGCCUAUCAGCUUGUUGGUGGGGUGAUGGCCUACCAAGGCGGUGACGGGUAGCCGGCCUGAGAGGGUGGAGGGUCACACUGGGACUGAGACACGGCCCAGACUCCUACGGGAGGCAGAAGUGGGGAAUAGUGGACAAUGGGCGCAAGCCUGAUGCAGCGACGCCGCGUGAGGGAUGGAGGCCUUCGGGUUGUGAACCUCUUUCGCCAGUGAAGCAGGCCUGCCUCGUUUGUGGGUGGGUUGACGGUAGCUGGAUAAGAAGCGCCGGCUAACUACGUG